AAUGUUUGACUCUAAUUUCUAAUGCAUGCUAAACAGCUUUAAACAGUAUAAAAAUAUACCACAGAGAUGCUACCUAAUGAGUUCCUUUUGGCUGUAAUCCAUCUUUCAGCAUUUGUCAGUGGUCACACAUGUGUGGAACAGCAGCCAAACGCUGUACAUCUCACUGAGGGAGAAAAUGUUACCCUGUCAUGUCACAUCUAUGUAGAGGAAGGAGAGAAAAUUACUAAAUUCCAUGUAGAGUGGUACAGGGAGGGUGCUGAUAGACACCCAUACGAGGUUGGAAACCUUUCCCAGCUCAGAGGAAGGUUUCGUGAGAACACCA
ensembl:lncRNA